GUGCUUGCUUUAGCAGCACAUAUACUACAACAGGAAUGAUAGAUAUAGAGAUUAGCAUACCCCCUGCACAAGGAUGACACACUAACUCAUUAAGCAUUCCAUAUUAAA
ensembl:snRNA U6 U6 spliceosomal RNA